rnacentral:rRNA from 1 species
CGGGACACGUGGUAUCCUGUCUGAAUAUGGGGGGACCAUCCUCCAAGGCUAAAUACUCCUGACUGACCGAUAGUGAACCAGUACCGUGAGGGAAAGGCGAAAAGAACCCCGGCGAGGGGAGUGAAAAAGAACCUGAAACCGUGUACGUACAAGCAGUGGGAGCACAGAGCAAUCUGUGUGACUGCGUACCUUUUGUAUAAUGGGUCAGCGACUUAUAUUCUGUAGCAAGGUUAACCGAAUAGGGGAGCCGAAGGGAAACCGAGUCUUAACUGGGCGUUAAGUUGCAGGGUAUAGACCCGAAACCCGGUGAUCUAGCCAUGGGCAGGUUGAAGGUUGGGUAACACUAACUGGAGGACCGAACCGACUAAUGUUGAAAAAUUAGCGGAUGACUUGUGGCUGGGGGUGAAAGGCCAAUCAAACCGGGAGAUAGCUGGUUCUCCCCGAAAGCUAUUUAGGUAGCGCCUCGUGAAUUCAUCUCCGGGGGUAGAGCACUGUUUCGGCAAGGGGGUCAUCCCGACUUACCAACCCGAUGCAAACUGCGAAUACCGGAGAAUGUUAUCACGGGAGACACACGGCGGGUGCUAACGUCCGUCGUGAAGAGGGAAACAACCCAGACCGCCAGCUAAGGUCCCAAAGUCAUGGUUAAGUGGGAAACGAUGUGGGAAGGCCCAGACAGCCAGGAUGUUGGCUUAGAAGCAGCCAUCAUUUAAAGAAAGCGUAAUAGCUCACUGGUCGAGUCGGCCUGCGCGGAAGAUGUAACGGGGCUAAACCAUGCACCGAAGCUGCGGCAGCGACACUGUGUGUUGUUGGGUAGGGGAGCGUUCUGUAAGCCUGUGAAGGUGUGCUGUGAGGCAUGCUGGAGGUAUCAGAAGUGCGAAUGCUGACAUAAGUAACGAUAAAGCGGGUGAAAAGCCCGCUCGCCGGAAGACCAAGGGUUCCUGUCCAACGUUAAUCGGGGCAGGGUGAGUCGACCCCUAAGGCGAGGCCGAAAGGCGUAGUCGAUGGGAAACAGGUUAAUAUUCCUGUACUUGGUGUUACUGCGAAGGGGGGACGGAGAAGGCUAUGUUGGCCGGGCGACGGUUGUCCCGGUUUAAGCGUGUAGGCUGGUUUUCCAGGCAAAUCCGGAAAAUCAAGGCUGAGGCGUGAUGACGAGGCACUACGGUGCUGAAGCAACAAAUGCCCUGCUUCCAGGAAAAGCCUCUAAGCAUCAGGUAACAUCAAAUCGUACCCCAAACCGACACAGGUGGUCAGGUAGAGAAUACCAAGGCGCUUGAGAGAACUCGGGUGAAGGAACUAGGCAAAAUGGUGCCGUAACUUCGGGAGAAGGCACGCUGAUAUGUAGGUGAAGUCCCUCGCGGAUGGAGCUGAAAUCAGUCGAAGAUACCAGCUGGCUGCAACUGUUUAUUAAAAACACAGCACUGUGCAAACACGAAAGUGGACGUAUACGGUGUGACGCCUGCCCGGUGCCGGAAGGUUAAUUGAUGGGGUCAGCGCAAGCGAAGCUCUUGAUCGAAGCCCCGGUAAACGGCGGCCGUAACUAUAACGGUCCUAAGGUAGCGAAAUUCCUUGUCGGGUAAGUUCCGACCUGCACGAAUGGCGUAAUGAUGGCCAGGCUGUCUCCACCCGAGACUCAGUGAAAUUGAACUCGCUGUGAAGAUGCAGUGUACCCGCGGCAAGACGGAAAGACCCCGUGAACCUUUACUAUAGCUUGACACUGAACAUUGAGCCUUGAUGUGUAGGAUAGGUGGGAGGCUUUGAAGUGUGGACGCCAGUCUGCAUGGAGCCGACCUUGAAAUACCACCCUUUAAUGUUUGAUGUUCUAACGUGGACCCGUGAUCCGGGUUGCGGACAGUGUCUGGUGGGUAGUUUGACUGGGGCGGUCUCCUCCUAAAGAGUAACGGAGGAGCACGAAGGUUGGCUAAUCCUGGUCGGACAUCAGGAGGUUAGUGCAAUGGCAUAAGCCAGCUUGACUGCGAGCGUGACGGCGCGAGCAGGUGCGAAAGCAGGUCAUAGUGAUCCGGUGGUUCUGAAUGGAAGGGCCAUCGCUCAACGGAUAAAAGGUACUCCGGGGAUAACAGGCUGAUACCGCCCAAGAGUUCAUAUCGACGGCGGUGUUUGGCACCUCGAUGUCGGCUCAUCACAUCCUGGGGCUGAAGUAGGUCCCAAGGGUAUGGCUGUUCGCCAUUUAAAGUGGUACGCGAGCUGGGUUUAGAACGUCGUGAGACAGUUCGGUCCCUAUCUGCCGUGGGCGCUGGAGAACUGAGGGGGGCUGCUCCUAGUACGAGAGGACCGGAGUGGACGCAUCACUGGUGUUCGGGUUGUCAUGCCAAUGGCACUGCCCGGUAGCUAAAUGCGGAAGAGAUAAGUGCUGAAAGCAUCUAAGCACGAAACUUGCCCCGAGAUGAGUUCUCCCUGACCCUUUAAGGGUCCUGAAGGAACGUUGAAGACGACGACGUUGAUAGGCCGGGUGUGUAAGCGCAGCGAUGCGUUGAGCUAACCGGUACUAAUGAACCGUGAGGCUUAACCUU